GACGAACGCUGGCGGCGUGCCUAAUACAUGCAAGUAGAACGCACAGUUUAUACCGUAGCUUGCUACACCAUAGACUGUGAGUUGCGAACGGGUGAGUAACGCGUAGGUAACCUGCCUGGUAGCGGGGGAUAACUAUUGGAAACGAUAGCUAAUACCGCAUAAUAUUGAUUAUUGCAUGAUAAUUAAUUGAAAGGUGCAAUUGCACCACUACCAGAUGGACCUGCGUUGUAUUAGCUAGUAGGUGAGGUAACGGCUCACCUAGGCGACGAUACAUAGCCGACCUGAGAGGGCGAUCGGCCACACUGGGACUGAGACACGGCCCAGACUCCUACGGGAGGCAGCAGUAGGGAAUCUUCGGCAAUGGACGAAAGUCUGACCGAGCAACGCCGCGUGAGUGAAGAAGGUUUUCGGAUCGUAAAGCUCUGUUGUAAGAGAAGAACGGGUGUGAGAGUGGAAAGUUCACACUGUGACGGUAUCUUACCAGAAAGGGACGGCUAACUACGUG
rnacentral:rRNA from 1 species